rnacentral:snRNA from 1 species
GACAAUGGGUAUAAAAGUAAUUG